CGAAAACAUUACUUCAAGCACUUGUGGGCAAAUAAAGUGCAUUGAAGGAAACACAAAGGAUACAAAUGGUGUUCAGACAAAUGAUAAUCUUGAACAAGAUAAAGAUGUGCAAUGUUCAACAAGGACCACCACCAAGGCUACUGAAAAUGAAAUGAAAAAG